rnacentral:miRNA from 1 species
AGGGGCCGCGAUGGGAGGGGGUU